UGGGGAAUUUUGGACAAUGGGCGAAAGCCUGAUCCAGCAAUGCCGCGUGUGUGAAGAAGGCCUUCGGGUUGUAAAGCACUUUUGUCCGGAAAGAAAUCCUUGGCUCUAAUACAGUCGGGGGAUGACGGUACCGGAAGAAUAAGCACCGGCUAACUACGUGCCAGCAGCCGCGGUAAUACGUAGGGUGCAAGCGUUAAUCGGAAUUACUGGGCGUAAAGCGUGCGCAGGCGGUUUGCUAAGACCGAUGUGAAAUCCCCGGGCUCAACCUGGGAACUGCAUUGGUGACUGGCAGGCUAGAGGUAUGGCAGAGGGGGGUAGAAUUCCACGUGUAGCAGUGAAAUGCGUAGAGAUGUGGAGGAAUACCGAUGGCGAAGGCAGCCCCCUGGGCAAAUACUGACGCUCAUGCACGAAAAGCGUGGGGAGCAAACAGGAUUAGAUACCCUGGUAGUCCACGCCCUAAAGCGAUGUCAACUAGUUGUUGGGGAUUCAUUUCCUUAGUAACGUAGCUAACGCGUGAAGUUGACCGCCUGGGGAGUACGGUCGCAAGAUUAAAACUCAAAUGAAUUGACGGGGUCAUA
rnacentral:rRNA from 1 species